AGGAUCUCACUAUGUUGCCCAGGCUGGUCUUGAACUCCUGACCUCAAGUGAUCCUUCUGCCUCAGCCUCCAAAGUGCUAGGAUUACAGGUGUGAGCCACCACAUCUGGCCAGAUAUGAUUUUUAACAGGAACAAGAACAUAUUUUCACACUGUUCUAGACAUAAUUUUUUUUCCCAAUUAACAAUACAUCUUGGCAAUUAUUUCAUAUCAGUACAUAAAGCACUUUCCCCAUUCCUUUUUAAGAGCUGCAUAGUAUUCCACUGUAUAAAGGAGCCAUUCAUUUCAUUGUUCCCUAUUUUUUGCUCUCACAAACAAGGCUGUGCAGUGAAUAACCUUGAAGCCUGUCUUGUUCUACACUGCAAAUGUACUUGUAAGAUGAUAAAAUCCCAGAAGGGGAAUUGCUGGGUCACAGGGUUGUGUGCAUUUGUCUUUUAACAGAUCUUUGCUAGACUGUCUUCAAAGGAGUCACACCAAUCAGUGUACAGUCCCACCAGCAACAUAUGUAUUCUCCCAGCCUCACCAAGACAGCAUGUUAUCAAACUUUUGGUCUCUGCCAAUCGGAUUAGUGAAAAUAGCAUUGUACUUGAAUGAAUGAGUGGGCCAAUGACUAGGCACUGAAGAAGAGGCACAUAAAAGGAUGCAAAUGGGUCGGUGUCAGGCUGGGCCCUUGGCAGGCUGCUGGUCAAGGCUUGUUGACUGACUGACUGAUGACCGUGCAAUAGAAGAGCAGGGGCAGAGACAGCCAUCUCACCUCCUAUCAGGUGCACUAAGACAGGGAACCUAAAAGCAGACUCCUGGGAUAUGCCGGCAGCUGCAGGAAGAUGAAUGGGAAGAGACACACAACUCUCCCUCCCAGAUAAGCAUAACAAAGAGACAUGGUAGCAGUCCAAGCCUCUGACAAACUCUCCCACCCUGAAUCCUUAAAAACUCUUGGUCUGUAAGAGAGUGUAGCUCUGACCUAACUCGGCCAGAAGCUCCUCUCAGGUUUGUUUUCUCUGAAAUAAACCUGUCUUAACUGGCAAGCCA